UAAUAACAACAAAGCUCAGUGGAAGCAUUGUAUGCUUUCUUUGGGACAAGAAAGAAGAGAAAAGCAACCUAGAUCAUGGGAAAUUCUGUGGAAGAAAACUGUCAACCUCCAUUAAAGUGAUGGAAUAUGAAUAUGGAAGGAUACAGAGCACAUCCAAAAAGAGAGUAACAUUGUAGGUGCUAAAUUGAUACUUGUUGAUUGAUUGAAGCAAGAAGAGACACUUAUAGCUUAAACCAGAAAAGAACAGAAGAAAAACCUGGAAAGCAGAUACUUAGAAGAAUCAUGACAUAGAGCAUUGAAGUGAAAGAGUAUUAAAGGCACAAUAAAAGCUGCACGCAAGAAAAGGAGUCCCUCUGAAGAACUGCAGUGGUGGCAGCAGCCUGGGAGGUGAUGAGGUGAAAGCUACAAACAAUGUUGGGUUCCACUCCAGCUGUUCCAUCUGCUGA